rnacentral:rRNA from 1 species
AACGAACGCUGGCGGCAGGCCUAACACAUGCAAGUCGAACGCACCUUUCGGGGUGAGUGGCAGACGGGUGAGUAACACGUGGGAACGUGCCCUUCAGUUCGGGAUAACCCAGGGAAACUUGGGCUAAUACCGGAUACGCCCUUUUGGGGAAAGAUUGAUCGCUGAAGGAUCGGCCCGCGUCUGAUUAGCUGGUUGGUGGGGUAAUGGCUCACCAAGGCGACGAUCAGUAGCUGGUCUGAGAGGAUGAUCAGCCACACUGGGACUGAGACACGGCCCAGACUCCUACGGGAGGCAGCAGUGGGGAAUAUUGGACAAUGGGCGCAAGCCUGAUCCAGCCAUGCCGCGUGAGUGAUGAAGGCCCUAGGGUUGUAAAGCUCUUUCGCACGCGACGAUAAUGACGGUAGCGUGAGAAGAAGCCCCGGCUAACUUCGUGCCAGCCGCCGCCGUAAAAC